rnacentral:rRNA from 1 species
AGUGAACGCUGGCGGUAGGCCUAACACAUGCAAGUCGAACGGCAGCACAGUAAGAGCUUGCUCUUACGGGUGGCGAGUGGCGGACGGGUGAGGAAUACAUCGGAAUCUACUUUUUCGUGGGGGAUAACGUAGGGAAACUUACGCUAAUACCGCAUACGACCUACGGGUGAAAGCAGGGGAUCUUCGGACCUUGCGCGAUUGAAUGAGCCGAUGUCGGAUUAGCUAGUUGGCGGGGUAAAGGCCCACCAAGGCGACGAUCCGUAGCUGGACUGAGAGGAUGAUCAGCCACACUGGAAGUGAGACACGGUCCAGACUCCUACGGGAGGGAGCAGUGGGGAAUAUUGGACAAUGGGCGCAAGCCUGAUCCAGCCAUACCGCGUGGGUGAAGAAGGCCUUCGGGUUGUAAAGCCCUUUUGUUGGGAAAGAAAAGCAGCAGGUUAAUACCCCGCUGUUCUGACGGUACCCAAAGAAUAAGCACCGGCUAACUUCGUG